CACUCCCUAGAGUGUUUGCUAGUUGAUUAUGUCCCUGAGCCGAUUCUCUCAACUCGGGGCUUGCGAACAUAAGCUGGUGUGCAUGCCUGCUCUGCAGGAAGCCUAAAAGCUUAACGCGAACUCCACCUUGAACUCUCGGGUUCAAGGGCCACAUCAACAGCGGCAUUUCUGGGGAGUCU
rnacentral:other from 1 species